rnacentral:rRNA from 1 species
CCUACGGGUGGCAGCAGUGGGGAAUAUUGGACAAUGGGGGCAACCCUGAUCCAGCCAUGCCGCGUGUGUGAAGAAGGCCCUCGGGUUGUAAAGCACUUUCAGUGAGGAAGAACGCCUGGUGGUUAAUACCCAUCAGGAAAGACAUCACUCACAGAAGAAGCACCGGCUAACUCCGUGCCAGCAGCCGCGGGAAUAUGGAGGGUGCGAGCGUUAAUCGGAAUUACUGGGCGUAAAGCGCGCGUAGGUGGCUUGAUAAGCCGGUUGUGAAAGCCCCGGGCUCAACCUGGGAACGGCAUCCGGAACUGUCAAGCUAGAGUGCAGGAGAGGAAGGUAGAAUUCCCGGUGUAGCGGUGAAAUGCGUAGAGAUCGGGAGGAAUACCAGUGGCGAAGGCGGCCUUCUGGACUGACACUGACACUGAGGUGCGAAAGCGUGGGUAGCAAACAGGAUUAGAUACCCGUGUAGUC